AUUGAAUUGAAACAGUGAAGUGUAAUUGUUCUCAGCUCCAAGGACAGCGGUUUGAUAUCAACAAAAAUACCCUCAAUUGGCGGCUAGAGUGCAUUAUUUUAAUAGGUUUGGCGAGUGCGUCUGAUAAUUUGGACAAGGCACGGGCGAUGGG